GUACAAGGAUAUUGACUGCAGCAUUAUUUGUAAUUGCCAAAAACUGCAAUAAUCUAAAGGUCCAUCAACAGCAGAAUGGAUAAAUAAAUUGAGGUAUAUUUACACGAUAGAAUACCACUCAGCAAUAAAAUUAAAUUAACAUAUACACAUACAACAACAUCCAUUGAAUAGAAGAAUCAAGAACCAAUCUAGCACAAACAGUAUGAUUCAAAAAGAGGCAGAACUAUAUCAUUUAGAAAGGCAUACUUGGGUGAAACUUUAAAGAAAAGCAAGGCAGUGAUUACCAUAAAAUCAGGAUUAUAGUAAUCUCUAGGUCUGGGGGAGACUUCCUCUACGGAGAAUUGUGAUUAAAAACCAGUUUAUGAAAUUCUUGCAACACUCUGUUUCUUCACUUGAGUGGAGGUUGUAUGGAUGUUUCUUUAAAAUAAUUUUUAAAACUGUACUAUGUACUUUUCUAUAUGAACAUUAUAUUUCACAAUUUUCAUUACAGAUAUAUCAAGAAACAUUAUGCUCCUGGUCUAUUCUCUUUUUCAUUCCUUCAUCCUGCUGCCUAAAAUAUAGAUACUGCCACCUGAGACCAUGAGAACAAGGAUCACAAUAUAGGAAUAUCAGAGCAAUGAGCUGGAAGGUAAGUCGCUGAGGACUUUGGGGCACAGCUGCCAUAUCAAUCUCUGAACCUUUUACCUCUGUACUUCAUUUACAUUAAAGAGAAAUAAAUUUUAUACUAUUUUGGAAUUUUCUAUAUUUAUACAGCCAAACCUGAUAUUAACUAAUAUACCUAUAUAUCAGAUCUUCAAAAAGACAACCUACUUAAUAGAAAAAUUGCCUGAUCUCACACCCACACCCACCCACACACACACCCAAUUAUGCAAUUCAUGGGAAAAGAAAUCCAAAGGGUUCAUAAACAUCCAAAAAGUGUUUAAUCUCAGCAGUAAUUAGAGAAAUGCAAAUUAAAACAACAGUGAGAUAGUAUUUUUCAUGCAUCACAUUGGCAGACAUUUUAAAGAGCAAUAUAUUCAUUUCUGUUGAGUAUUGAGGAAAAUGGUCCCUCUUUGGCAUUAGUAACACAAAUUGCUAUAAAUUUUUGGAAGGUAAAUUGGCAAUAUCUGUCAAAUUUGAAAUGCUCUCACCCAUUUGAGCCAGAAAAGUAACACAAAUCUAUACCACAGAAGUAGCAGCAAUAAUAUUCAAGACUACAUGUCCAAGAAUUCUUAUUGUGGCAUUAUUUGUCAAUGUAAAAACCCAGAAACAAUCUGUUAAAUCCAACAGUAGUAGAAUGUUUGGAAUAAAUUAUGGCAUAUCCUUACUAUGAAAUAUUAUGCAGGUGUUAAAAAAAUGAGUUAUAUCUACAUAUCGUGAUUUGGAAGGUUGUUCAUAAUGUAUUGUUUGGUGAGGAAAAUAAGUUACCUAUUUUUAUAUAAUUGGCCAACCUAUUUUGUGUAUGCAUGUCUAUAUAAACUUCUAUGAACAUGCAGGAAGGUGCGGAAAGUUACACCCCAGAUUAUUAACAUUGGUUACUUGGGAGGCGAGGCGGUAAUGGAAAUUACUUUCUCUGUAUUCAUUUUUGAAUUUUUUUUACUGGUUGCAAUGAUUAUAACUAUGUGUUGCUGUUGCUUUUGUAAUUUUUACAAAACUACUUAAUUUAAAAUUGGUUGUAAUAAAAGGUAUAUAUCCAAGGAUGCAGAAUAAUGUACCCCAAUGCCCAAUGAACAUCUUUACAAUUUAUUAUCACCAAACAUUAAAUCUACAUUGCUGAAGCAAACUGCACAAACCUGUACAAAGCAGAACGAAGUAGGUCACUUAAGAAAAUAAUGUGGCUUAUCCACUGAUGUUUCUUAAUUAGUAUUUUGUUAAUAAUUAACUUGAAAGACACCCAUGUGUUAGUACAAUAAAUAAAUGCAUGUUGCGUCUUGCAAUCUUCUGGGAAGGAAUUUAAUACCAAGCUAUGUCAUGGAAAGGAAGACAGGAGUUAAGAAAUACAGAGAAAGGGACAAUUCUUCUUCCCUAUCGGGUGGCUCCAGUGAUUGCUAAAUGAGCGUGUUUGCGAGGAGGUGGCUAUCAAUCAAGGUAUACAGUCUGCAUGUCUCAAUUCUAACUUAGCUUCCUGCCCUUCCUCAAAUGUUCUUCUGCCAUCAAGGCAUGGCCAACGCCCAGCCAGACACCUGAGUCAUGUUUGCCUCCUCCCUCUUGCUUUCCUCUGUCCCUGAAUCUGUUUGGUUGCUAAAUCCUCUCAAUUUCCCCUCUGGAAGGCCUCUGCCUUUGCCCUCCCUCUGGGCUGGAUUAGCUAAUAACAUCGAAGCUGCCACUACCCAAGAAGCUCAGACUCCUUUUCCUGGUCUUCCCACCUUUCACAUAGGCUCCUUCUGGCUUCUGGUCACCUUCUCCACUGUCACCCUCCGCGCCGCACGGCGAAGAUCCUGCUCACCCGCCAGGACCUCAGCCCGGAGCGGGUCCCGCCGUCUGCCCCUCGGAAGCCUGGGCGCUCCAGGAUGUGGGCCCCAACGCAGACGGAAGUGCCGGCAGCUCGAGGGGCGGGGCAGGGGGCGGGGCCUGGCCCGGCUGGCCAAUGGAAGCGCUGAGCCCAGAGUCAGAGGUCACAUGUGCAGUGGGCGGGAAUUUUCUCCUGAGAAGACCGGUAGGAGGCGGUUUUCCCUCUGCCUGUACCCUGAGAGGCUGGAGAGACGAGGGAGGGAAGGUGUUUUUAGACUGAGGGGAAGAAAGGAUCGACGUGGGGCUAGAGUAUGGCAGCUCCGAAAUCUCUGGAAAACAGAUUUGUGAGGCGUGGCUGAUGUGACCCUGUGGGGACAAGGCCCCAGAACGGGUGUCCACCUAACCUAAUUAGGCGAGAACAGAGGGUGUGAAGGACACGGGUAGGCCGACGGGACUUCAGUCCACUAACCAGAAGUUGUAUAGCUUAAGCAACAUGAGAAAAGAUAUGAACCUCACCUGUGCCAUUUUACAUGGUUAAAGCGUGAGCUUUAUGCCAGGGAGCGAGGAAGGGAAGAAAUCUGAUCCCUCCUCCGGUGGGAGGAGAUGGGAAGCCAGCCCGGAAGACCACGCUCACCUGCGUGUGGUCUCAAACAAUCUUGGGAAUAAUAUGCCAUUGUAUAUAUGUCCACCUUAAAUAGACACAAGUUUUAUUUGGGCAGAAAAAAUCUUGGGAAACUUUCCUCCUCCAGCCUUGUGGAUGAGAACCUGACCUAAUGAGUUGUCUGUAUUUCCAUUUUGCCCCAGAAGAUAGCGGUCAAGAGGUAGCACAGGAGAAAUAAAAUCAUUACAAACAGGUGUUGAAAUUUGUACUGCUUGCAAAGAAAGAAGCUAUGUUUUCAACAUUCAAAUAUUGUGCAAUAGAUUAUUUAUAUGAGAAUGUAAUUAGGAAGAAGUUUUCUAGAGAUGCUUUCUUGCUUCGAAUCCCUUCAUGUUUAUAUCAAGAUGGAGAUUAUCUUACAGGAGUUAUUGAUAGUGCAUUUAGGAGGCCAUGGACAAGAGCAUCAUGGACACCCAUGGAUCCUGGGCUAUCCCAGACAUCCAGGAGAUGCCUACCAUCUAACCUCCUUGGAGUCCAUUGGCAUCUCUUCAGUUUUCUCUGGGACCAAAACUGUGUCCUGGCCUUAUCUAAUGUCAAAUCCUGCGCUCCUGCAAUUUCUGCCUCCUCGCUUGUUCCCAUCUCAACAAGAGAGCAAAAUGAAGAACAAUUCUUCAGUUAUUGAACAAUCUUGUAUCUUUCACAAUUCGC
ensembl:lncRNA